GAUGAACGCUGGCGGCGUGCCUAAUACAUGCAAGUCGAGCGAACGGACGAGAAGCUUGCUUCUCUGAUGUUAGCGGCGGACGGGUGAGUAACACGUGGAUAACCUACCUAUAAGACUGGGAUAACUUCGGGAAACCGGAGCUAAUACCGGAUAAUAUUUUGAACCGCAUGGUUCAAAAGUGAAAGACGGUCUUGCUGUCACUUAUAGAUGGAUCCGCGCUGCAUUAGCUAGUUGGUAAGGUAACGGCUUACCAAGGCAACGAUGCAUAGCCGACCUGAGAGGGUGAUCGGCCACACUGGAACUGAGACACGGUCCAGACUCCUAAGGGAGGCAGCAGUAGGGAAUCUUCCGGAAUGGGCGAAAGCCUGACGGAGCAAAGCCGCGUGAGUGAUGAAGGGCUUCGGAUCGUAAAACUCUGUUAUUAGGGAAGAACAUAUGUGUAAGUAACUGUGCACAUCUUGACGGGACCUAAUCAGAAAGCCACGGCUAACUACGUG
rnacentral:rRNA from 1 species